ACGACCAAAAGGAGCGGAGCAGCAAAUAAGUACUAAAAAUGUUGCAAAACCGGGGAAAAUUUAUUACUUUUGAGAGAUUGUGUUGCGUGCUCUGCGUAAAGGAUUAAAGUUAUGCUACAAUAUUUAUGACAGAAUUGUUCCUCAUAAAAAGUUCGAAAAAUAUAUCAUAAAACAAAUUCCCCUGCCGCAUUUGGCUGUCUGUCUGCUUUUCGCCUUUUUAAUGGCCACCGUGCAACUGGUGGCAAUAUGCACGCAAAUAAGGCUAAGAAGAAAUACGUAGGGACAACGUAUGACGCAGCUAUCACGCACACUAGCUUGCUUAUAAUACUUGGCCUACUAGUUUUAGCGUAAUUGAAGCGUGCUACUCCAUCUAGACAUUUAAUUUGUUAAACUAUAUUAAAUUUGUAGAACUAUAGAAUAACAUACAUAACUCCUAGUAAUUAAUAACUUUUUUAUAAUUUAAGUAAAUGCCACCUCCAGAAAAGUUUCAAAUAAAUUUGGGAUUCCGUUCACGAUGUUAGAUGGUAUUAUCUUAAAUCAAAAGAAGAAGGUACAAUUAACAUCUAACUCGUAUCUACUACUUACCUAAUUAUUAUGAAGUAUUUAGUAAAGAACAAGAAAUUUUCAGCGAAUAAACUAUUUCUUUUAUAUGAUUUUUUGCCUAGUUACCAUGAGAAAAGUUUUAAGUUUGGCCAUGAGUCAUGCCUCAAAAAGUCAAAGAAGGUGUUUAUUAUUUUAUGUUCAUUGAGUUUUUAUUUCAAUUUAAUUGAAAGUCUUCAGAACCGUUGAUUCGAUUUUUCUAAGACUUAGAAAUCCUCUAAAUAUUUUAGAAGUUAUAAUUAUUUUUCUAUUAUUAUAACAGAUUAUAAUGAUAGUUAAGUUCUCGAUAUUACGGAGCAGUGAUAAUUUCACACUGACUAAAUUCUGUGUUCAUUUGUAUAAGUAUUAAUAAAAACUACAAUGUUUUAAUUAA